AGGGAUGCUACCGGGCGACCGGAUGCGGAUCUCGAAAGCCUGUCCCAGUUCGGACUGGAGUCUGCAACCCGACUCCACGAAGUUGGAUUCGCUAGUAAUCGCAGAUCAGAAUGCUGCGGUGAAUACGUUCCCGGGUCUUGUACACACCGCCCGUCACACCAUGGGAGUCGGAAAUGCCCGAAGCCGGUGACCCAACCAAAAGGAGGGAGCCGUCGAAGGCAGGUCUGAUAACUGGGGUGAAGUCGUAACAAGGUAUC
rnacentral:rRNA from 1 species